UAACAAUUAGAAUUUAACUUACAAUUAAAUAAAGCAAGAGCAUUGUUAAC
rnacentral:tRNA from 1 species